GGCUGGUACAAUAGGCCAGAUGUGGCUGCAGUACAAGGGACUUAGUCCGAACCCACUAGCAUUAAAAAAAACACAACUACGCUUGCAUCAAGAGAAGACCACAACAGUGACUCCGCCAGUGAUCGCCGGUGCUCAACGGCCAACCAGCCGUUGUACGAGCUUUGCCCGCCAGCCGGCGACGCCGCCACUAGCACCGGCUAGCACAUUACUACAAAACUUCGCCCAGCAUCCCGCCGGCUCGCUAUCAUAGGGCUGCUGCAAGGAAGAAGGCUGGUACUAGCCCUGACUAGUCCUCAGCGACGAGAGCUUCACCAGGCUUCCGACCCUUCCAACAGAGGGUCAUUUUCAGGGACAACAAUAUCACCGCCGUCACUAGGUCAGGCCACCCAGCUACAAAGGGAGUUUCAGUACCACCUUGGAUGUGAUCUGCUGCAGUACUGCUGCCACAUAUGUGACAGCCUGUUCCAACGUGGCUCCCAGCUGACGAAACACCUUUAUAUUCAGCACAGCGUCUGCAGGCCCCCAGGCCACUGCAGAUUUAGGUACAAGCGAGAUGAGAAUGGCUUCUUCCGGCUUCUAACAGUGGACACUACACCCAAGAAAUUGACCGAGAAAGCCAGCCAACCAUUGUGCGUCAAAGAAGAUGAUCUCCUGAAACAGGAGGCUGAAGGGGGCAGGAUUAUGGUGUCUCUAAUAGAAUAUGAUUACAGUGGGACUGUUGUCUCCAGGGAAGAUAUAGAGACGACAGAACUACAUAGCUUGCCCCAAGGAAAUUUUAAAAUCAUAGAUGCUUUAUGUUUUACAGUGUGAACUAUUUGUUCCAAUUAUGUUGUAAAUUGUGCAAUUGAAUCUCAUAGUUGUUCUUUUUAUGCAACUCUAUUAAUAUAUCACAGUUCUUAUCUUUUCUGUAUUUGAUUCAGUUCCUUUUUGGCCAGAUCAUUUAUUGUCUUAUAAUCUGUGCUUAAUACAUUUCCUUUCCAUAAA